GGCGAACGCUGGCGGCGUGCUUAACACAUGCAAGUCGAACGGAAAGGCCCUGCUUUUGUGGGGUGCUCGAGUGGCGAACGGGUGAGUAACACGUGAGUAACCUGCCCUUGACUUUGGGAUAACUUCAGGAAACUGGGGCUAAUACCGGAUAGGAGCUCCUGCUGCAUGGUGGGGGUUGGAAAGUUUCGGCGGUUGGGGAUGGACUCGCGGCUUAUCAGCUUGUUGGUGGGGUAGUGGCUUACCAAGGCUUUGACGGGUAGCCGGCCUGAGAGGGUGACCGGCCACAUUGGGCCUGAGAUACGGCCCAGACUCCUACGGGAGGCAGCAGUGGGGAAUAUUGCACAAUGGGCGGAAGCCUGAUGCAGCAACGCCGCGUGCGGGAUGACGGCCUUCGGGUUGUAAACCGCUUUCGCCUGUGACGAAGCGUGAGUGACGGUAAUGGGUAAAGAAGCACCGGCUAACUACGUG
rnacentral:rRNA from 1 species